rnacentral:rRNA from 1 species
UACGGGGGGAGCAAGCGUUGUUCGGAUUUACUGGGCGUAAAGGGCGCGUAGGCGGCCACCGCAAGUCGGUUGUGAAAUCUCUGGGCUUAACCCAGAAAGGUCAACCGAUACUGCGGGGCUAGAGUGCAGAAGGGGCAACUGGAAUUCCUGGUGUAGCCGGUGGAAUGCGCAGAUAUCAGGAGGAACACCGGUGGCGAAGGCGGGUCUCUGGGCAGGUAACUGACGCUGAGGAGCGAAAAGCGUGGGGAGCGAACAGG